CUAAGUAGUAUGACUUAGCUUUAUUAUAAAAUCUUGUUUCAGCUAAUUUAAUUUUUUGUUAAUUCUGCAUUUAUCAUUCAAAGUCAUUAUUUUUGUUUAGUUUAUAGACCAAAUAUCUUGGUGUUUAUAUCUUGUCUUUUUUUUUACAAUACUAAAAUAAUGUUUUCAUGAGUUGUAUUUGGAGGCAAUUUAAAGCCUAAUAUCAUGUUAAACUUGGAUAUUUUUCUGAGAACACGUCUUGUUUAUGUGUGCAAUGAUUUAUCAUUUUUUAUGUUCUUCACUGUUUUUGGCACCAUCUAUAAUUUUGGAAGUCUGCAAUGUUUCUCCUUAUAUACAAAUAGUUCAAGCUUAUUCGUUAUGCUUUUAUAUACACAUAAAAACACAUCUUCUAUGUUAUAUUUUGUUUUGUUCUUGUACGACAUAUAUAUUAUUGAAAAAUAAAUUUUUAAAAG
rnacentral:sRNA from 1 species